rnacentral:rRNA from 1 species
UAGGGAAUCUUCUACAAUGGACGCAAGUCUGAUGGAGCAACGCCGCGUGAGUGAAGAAGGGUUUCGGCUCGUAAAGCUCUGUUGUUAAAGAAGAACGUGGGUAAGAGUAACUGUUUACCCAGUGACGGUAUUUAACCAGAAAGCCACGGCUAACUACGUGCCAA